GCACAUGGGGUGCUGCUACCUUGACGUGGUGGUCGGGCUUGCCUAUCGCGAUGAACCAGUCGAGCUAUACUGGCCGGAAGAAUCGCUCCUCAAGGUCCUACCAUGCCAGACAGGUCGGUUGAAGAGUGGUAAGGCUAAAAGCAGC
rnacentral:ribozyme from 1 species